UACGAAGGGGGCUAGCGUUGCUCGGAAUCACUGGGCGUAAAGCGCACGUAGGCGGACUCUUAAGUCGGUGGUGAAAUCCUGGAGCUCAACUCCAGAACUGCCUUCGAUACUGAGAGUCUCGAGUCCGAGAGAGGUGAGUGGAACUGCGAGUGUAGAGGUGAAAUUCGUAGAUAUUCGCAAGAACACCAGUGGCGAAGGCGGCUCACUGGCUCGGUACUGACGCUCAGGUUCGAAAGCGUGGGGAGCAAACAGG
rnacentral:rRNA from 1 species